CCUACGGGAGGCAGCAGUGGGGGAUAUUGCACAAUGGGGGGAACCCUGAUGCAGCGAUGCCGCGUGGGUGAAGAAGCGCCUCGGCGCGUAAAGCCCUGUCAGCAGGGAAGAAAAUGACGGUACCUGAAGCAGAAGCCCCGGCUAACUACGUGCCAGCAGCCGCGGUAAUACGGAGGGGGCAAGCGUUAUCCGGAUUUACUGGGUGUAAAGGGGGCGCAGACGGCGAUGCAAGCCAGUAGUGAAAGCCCGGGGCCCAACCCCGGGACUGCUCUUGGAACUGCGUGGCUGGAGUGCAGGAGGGGCAGGCGGAAUGCCUGGUGUAGCGGUGAAAUGCGUAGAGAUCAGGAGGAACACCGGUGGCGAAGGCGGCCUGCUGGACUGCAACUGACGUUGAGGCCCGAAAGCGUGGGGAGCAAACAGGAUUAGAUACCCGGGUAGUC
rnacentral:rRNA from 1 species